rnacentral:rRNA from 1 species
UACGGGGGGAGCAAGCGUUGUUCGGAUUUACUGGGCGUAAAGGGCGCGUAGGCGGCCACCGCAAGUCGGUUGUGAAAUCUCCGGGCUUAACCCGGAAAGGUCAAUCGAUACUGCGGGGCUAGAGUGCAGAAGGGGCAACUGGAAUUCUCGGUGUAGCGGUGAAAUGCGUAGAUAUCGGGAGGAACACCGGUGGCGAAGGCGGUUCUCUGGGCCUUACCUGACGCUGAGGAGCGAAAGCGUGGGGAGCGAACAGG